rnacentral:tRNA from 2 species
CUUAGCUCAGCUGGUUAGAGCAACGGACUUUUAAUCCGCGGGUCCAGGGUUCGAAUCCCUG